UACGUGGGGAGCAAGCGUUGUCCGGAAUCACUGGGCGUAAAGGGUGCGUAGGCGGGUCUUUAAGUCAGGGGUGAAAUCCUGGAGCUCAACUCCAGAACUGCCUUUGAUACUGAGGAUCUUGAGUACGGGAGAGGUGAGUGGAACUGCGAGUGUAGAGGUGAAAUUCGUAGAUAUUCGCAAGAACACCAGUGGCGAAGGCGGCUCACUGGCCCGAUACUGACGCUGAGGCACGAAAGCGUGGGGAGCAAACAGGG
rnacentral:rRNA from 1 species